rnacentral:rRNA from 1 species
AUUGAACGCUGGCGGCAUGCCUAACACAUGCAAGUCGAACGGAAACAGGACGCUAUGAUCUCUUCGGAGUGAAUUUGUCGCUGUCGAGUGGCGGACGGGUGAGUAAUGCAUAGGAAAUUGCCUCAAAGUGGGGGAUAGCCCGGAGAAAUCCGGAUUAAUACCGCAUGUGCUCUACGGAGCAAAGCGGGCCUCUGAUUUAAGCUCGCGCUUUGAGAUAUGCCUAUGUCGGAUUAGCUAGUUGGUAAGGUAAAAGCUUACCAAGGCGACGAUCCGUAGCUGGUUUGAGAGGAUGAUCAGCCACACUGGGACUGAGACACGGCCCAG